rnacentral:rRNA from 1 species
UACGUAGGGGCAAGCGUUGUCCGGAAUCAUUGGGCGUAAAGCGCGUGUAGGCGGUUCGGUAAGUCGGGUGUGAAAGUCGGGGGCUCAACCCUCGGAUGCCGGUGGAUACUGUCGGGCUUGAGUACGGAAGAGGCGAGUGGAAUUCCUGGUGUAGCGGUGAAAUGCGUAGAUAUGACGGAGGAACACCGAUGGCGAAGGCAAUCCCUGGGCCUGCACUGACGCUCAUGCACGAAAGCGUGGGGAGCAAACAG